ACGGGGGAUGCAAGCGUUAUCCGGAUUUAUUGGGUUUAAAGGGUGCGUAGGCGGUUUGAUAAGUCAGCGGUGAAAUAUUUCAGCUUAACUGAAAGGGUGCCAUUGAUACUGUCUGGCUUGAAUAUGGUUGCUGUGGGUGGAAUGUGUCGUGUAGCGGUGAAAUGCUUAGAUAUGGGGCAGAACACCGAUUGCGAAGGCAGCUUUCAGGACCAUUAUUGACGCUGAUGCGCGAAAGUGUGGGGAGCAAACAG
rnacentral:rRNA from 1 species